rnacentral:rRNA from 1 species
GAUGAACGCUGGCGGCGUGCCUAAUACAUGCAAGUCGAGCGAACAGACGAGGAGCUUGCUCCUCUGACGUUAGCGGCGGACGGGUGAGUAACACGUGGAUAACCUACCUAUAAGACUGGGAUAACUUCAGGAAACCGGAGCUAAUACCGGAUAACAUGUUGAACCGCAUGGUUCAACAGUGAAAGACGGUUUUGCUGUCACUUAUAGAUGGAUCCGCGUCGCAUUAGCUAGUUGGUAAGGUAACGGCUUACCAAGGCAACGAUGCGUAGCCGACCUGAGAGGGUGAUCGGCCACACUGGAACUGAGACACGGUCCAGACUCCUACGGGAGGCAGCAGUAGGGAAUCUUCCGCAAUGGGCGAAAGCCUGACGGAGCAACGCCGCGUGAGUGAAGAAGGUCUUCGGAUCGUAAAACUCUGUUAUUAGGGAAGAACAAAUGUGUAAGUAACUAUGCACGUCUUGACGGUACCUAAUCAGAAAGCCACGGCUAACUACGUG